CAGGAGGCAGUCAAGUCAAACAUCGUCCUUCUGGAAAUAAGUUGGAUUCUGCAAUAACAAAUCAUGAAAUGUUUAAAUAUGUGAUCAUCAUGGAGAUGACGUUUCUUUAAAUGGAAUGGGAGGCACGGGAAGGGCGUUUUGGUGGAAUUUUCUGAUAAUUUCUGAAUGGACCCAAACAUCAUCGAACUCACUGCUGCCCUAGCUGCACUCUUUAUUAAAGACCUUGAUUCCUGCAGCAUCCACCAACCACUAAUGGUGAGAAGCUUUUCCUCUCCUGGCGAACGCGAAAGUGAAAGAGUGUUGAGUGUAUAAAAACUGCAUAACAGUGUAAUGACAGCAGACAUCAGUGGUGCUGUCAUUUAAGUACAUGGGUGCCAGAGGGGGCAAUAAGGUACACACACAUCACAUAGCCUGUUCAAUACGGGAAUGUUACGGCAGCGGAGGCAGAACAAAGCCGAAACGACGCCUUCGUUCUGAUGACGCAUUAUGUGUGCGACCCGCCAAGGGGGGAUUUAAAAACAACUCAAGAAAAAGAGACAAGUAAAUUAAGCAUCUAAUGAUAUUGUCCAAAAUGACGGGAAAUUGGGGUGACUUCGAGGUCCGGGAGCUCCUCGCCCUCCGAGCAUUGGACGAGAUCCACCGUCACAUUACCGGGACGGUGAAGGACGGUCCCGUAUUGGAGAAGCUUGCCAGAAUGCAUCGUGAACGGGGCUAUUCUCGAACCAAGGCGCAGGUGAUGAGCAAACUCAAGAAUUUGCGCAGAAAAUUCCACCAGGUCAACAACUAUAAUGGCAAGACGGGUAGAGGACGGUUGGACUGGACGUAUUUCGACUUGUGUCAGGCGAUCUGGGGGGAGUCCAGCCUCUGUGCCGAUCCCUCCGUUGAGAGCGGUCCACUUUCGGACACCGACGCCAGCAGUACACGGGGCGAAUCUGCGUCUAACGAUCAACCAGAAAAGCUGCCGAAAAGGCGGAAAUUAACCAAAGCCCCGGUGCUGAAGACAGAAACUGACUAUGAUGAGGAGAGGGGGGCAGAGGAUGAGGAGAGAGCACGUCUCCCCCUGAUUCCGGAACCCAGAUGGAGAGGGAGCGAGCGAGAGAGGGAGAGGGAGUGGGAAAGGGAGAGGGAGGUGGAAAGGGAGAUGGAAUGGGACAGGGAAAGGGAGAAAGAGAGAGAAAGGGAGAGAGAGCGAGAAAGGGAGAGAGAGAGGGAGAGAGAGAGAGAGAGACUAGAACAUGCAAAAAACAUGCUAUGACGCCAUACUAAUGUGAUCAAGCAAUUAAUUUCUUCGUCUAAUUGUCACAAUCAAUAGGAAUGUUUUUUAAUAUGUACACUUAUAUAUGAUAUAUAGUAUACCAUUUUUAUAUAUUGUAGUAAUGCCCAUUCGUACACAUCUUAUUUCUUAACUUUCAAUUGUUAUAUUCCUACUCUGGAUUGGAAUGCAUUUCUUUAACCCUACGGGAUCAAUAUCAUGUUUCUGGCUCGGAUUAAAAGACCGGUCCUAAUCUGCCGUAAUGUCUUUAUGGCUAAGGGUGCUGGUGAUGGUGAUGGUGGGGACGUUUUCCUCCCCCACGCCAGUGCAGCUACACACAAUGACUGUUACUGCAGCAUGGAUUGCUUUUGUUUUUUAAACCUGCCUUCAGGAACCCAGAGAGAGGGUUUGAGAAGCAGCUCGGAACCAAUCAUAGACAGCUUCGUUGUCUUCCUCUACUGGAAAAUCCUAAACAAUGAAUAUUUAAAAUAUACCUAACUGGAUAUCAUUUGGUUAUAAUAGCCCAGUCUGGCUUUUGGUUCAGUUAUAUUGUUCUGUAUUACAAUAAAAUAUGAUUGC
ensembl:lncRNA